CCCUUAGAUGUCCUGGGCCGCACGCGCGCUACACUGAGUGUCUGAGAUACGAGUCUGCCUGGUCCGGCAAGGUCUAGGUAAUCGCUAAAAGACACAUCAUGCUUGGGAUAGAUUAUUGCAAAUAUUAAUCUUGAACGAGGAAUUCCUAGUAAGCGCAAGUCAACAGCUUGUGUUGAUUACGUCCCUGCCCUUUGUACACACCGCCCGUCGCUACUACUGAUUGGAUGUUUAAGCGAGGUUCUCGAACUGCUAGCGACUUAGCUUCGGUGAGGUCGCAGUGUGGGGAGUGAACCUAGCUUUGGUGUCUAGAGGAAGUAAAAGUCGUAACA
rnacentral:rRNA from 1 species